AAGUCGUAACAAGGUUUCCGUAGGUGAACCUGCGGAAGGAUCAUUCACAAUAAGUGUUUAAUGGCACUUUCAAAUCCAUUACCCACCUUGUGUGCACUGUAGAUGAGGGAAGAAGACUUGUUCUCCUUUCCCUUGUCAUACUUACAUACCUAUUUUUCUUGAUUGUCUACAAUUUGAGUAAUAAAAAAACUCGAAUACAACUUUCAACAACGGAUCUCUUGGCUCUCGC
rnacentral:misc_RNA from 1 species